AUGCAGCUCUGGACGAUGGAGGGCACGGUGGAGGCCAUCGGCGACAAGGUCAUCGUUGACCGCCUCGACAGCCGGACCCAUGAGCGCGACGACACCAAGCUGUUCGCAUGCUGGGUCUGGUGCUGGGACACUGCCCACAUCCCCACGAAGCGCACCAUCUAGAAGCAUGCCCGGGGCACCGGCCGCGUUGAUGAGAUGGUGGGCUACUCUUCUUCGAGUCGCGUCGUGGCGCCUCCGCCGGAGCUGAUGCAGUACGACUUGCUUCUCCACCUGGAUCGCGUGGAGGACUGGACUCCUCUCUCGCCGCGUUCAUCCCACUCGCCGCAGAGCGGCAUCCCCUCCGACGACGACGAGCCUGACGAGCGCCCCUACCCACAGAUCGAGACGGGUGUAUGGGUCGAGCAGGUGGAGGAUGGUCGGCCGACGCUUGCCCCCGCACCAACCAUGCGCCCUCAACCUCGGGUGGCAUCCACGGGCUGCCGGGGCAUGCCGACCACUGAUGGCCGGCGCGACGAUGACGGCGGAGACCCUGGGUACCAGAGGAGGAGCUGGACGGAUACGCUCCUUGGCAGGGGGCGUGCCAGCGACAGGGGCUCGGCCCCAGCCCCGGCGCCACCUGCGGAGCGGCUGCGUAGCCGCACCCCGCCUCGCGACACCGCCAGGGCGCGCCGCGGGGCAGGCACCUCUGCAUCGACAAGCAGGCCAUGA
rnacentral:rRNA from 1 species